rnacentral:tRNA from 2 species
GCCCCUCUAGCUCAAUGGUUAGAGCAGCGGACUUUUAAUCCGUUGGUUCAGGGUUCGAAUCCCUGGGGGGGCACCA